rnacentral:rRNA from 1 species
UACGAAGGGGGCUAGCGUUGUUCGGAAUUACUGGGCGUAAAGCGCGUGUAGGCGGGGCUUUAAGGCAGGGGUGAAAUGCCAGGGCUCAACCUUGGAACUGCCUUUGAUACUGGAGACCUUGAGUCCGGGAGAGGUGAGUGGAAUUGCGAGUGUAGAGGUGAAAUUCGUAGAUAUUCGCAAGAACACCAGUGGCGAAGGCGGCUCACUGGCCCGGAACUGACGCUGAGACGCGAAAGCGUGGGGAGCAAACAGG